rnacentral:lncRNA from 1 species
GCCGGCUCCAGCCUUGGCCAGCCCAGGAAGGCGCUCCCACAGUGCAGCGGCGGGCUGAAGGGCUCCUCAAGGGCCGCCAAAGUGGGAGCCCAGGCAGAAGAGGCGCCGAGAGCGAGCAAGGGCUGUGAGGGCUGCCAGCAAGCUGUCACUUCUCGCUUUCAAUUAAGGAAAAAAAAGUGCUGAACUUGUGCCGGUUCAAGCUAGUUCAAGGCUUGGGUAUGUCCUUAUCAGCAGCAUGAAAAUGGACUAAUACAAAUAUGCUGAGUUAAGUCCUGGACAAGAAACACUUUGCCAACCUCUGGACUAGACUGAGUAAAGCAAGCAGAAAGAUCCAAUUUUAAAAAGAGGUGAGGAAAAUGGGACAACUUGGCUAUGGAGAGAGCAAGAAGAAUGCAACUGAUGUGCACAAAGUUUGAAGACAAAGUUACUCAGUUUAGAUCAGGGGUCCACAACCCCCAGCCAUGGACCAGUACUGAUUUGUGGCCUGUUAGGAACUCAGUUGCAGUAGGAGGUGAAUGCCAGGUUUUUUCAUCUGAGGUUACCAUGAGACUUAUAAUACAAGUAAAAUCUUAUAUCUCAAUGCCAGCACUUUGGGAGACAGAGGUGGGCAGAUCACCUGACGUCAGGGGUUCGAGACCAGCCUGACCAACGUGGAGAAACCC